rnacentral:rRNA from 1 species
AAACACGGACCAAGGAGUUUAUCGUGUGCGCAAGUCAUUGGGUGUUGAAAACUCAAAGGCGCAAUGAAAGUAAAGAAUCCGCAAGGAUACGACGUGUGAUCUGAGCAAUCACGAUUGCCUGGAGCAACAUGGCCCCAUUCUGGUCGCUUGCGACGGGGUGGAGGAAGAGCGUACGCGGUGAGACCCGAAAGAUGGUGAACUAUUCCUGAGCAGGAUGAAGCCAGAGGAAACUCUGGUGGAAGUCCGAAGCGAUUCUGACGUGCAAAUCGAUCGUC